UGAUCCACACUGGGGAUCCGAACCUGCGAUCCCAUGCCACUGAAGCAGAGCGUGCCAAAAUUUAACCACUACACCACGGAGCUGGCCCCCAACAGUCCAUUUUUAAUUUUGUUGUUUUCUAGCCUGGCAGUUUCACAUGAGGAAGACAGCACGAAGAAAGCCAAGGUCUGACUGCUGCUUUUCAGUGAUCCAUUAAUCUAGAAUAUUAAUCAGGGGACCAUCUCCAUCCUCUUGCUUCCAGCAGCACUAAACCAAAAGGUUCCCACCUAGUGUUUAAUCAUCAGGAACCAGGGUCCUCUCAAGGAUGUUGAAUGAGACAAAAUGCAUUUGAAGGUGUGAUCAUCACUUCUGGGCCAGGGAAGGCACAAUAACAGCUCCUGUGAUGGGAGGAGGGGAGAAAAGGGAGAGGAGCCUCACUGUGGCCUUGAUGGCAUCUCCUUGGAAGCAGCAGGACCUUUAGGCCAGAAUGGUUUCUGUUCCCCUAUGUCCUCCACAAAAGGAGGGCAGUGAACAGAAUUUGGAGCAUACUAGAUGAAUGUCUGGGUGCCACCUUCUUGUAAAGCCCUAUGAGUAGCUUCUUAGGCAGACUCCUUUAGAGUGUAGGUUUGUGCCUGAGCUCCUUAGCGUGAAUGGAGCUCUGCCCCGUCUUGUAACACGCUGUUUUCUCACUAGGGACUUACCCUACCCUGUCUUGCACAUGUAUGUGUCUGAGAAGUACAGGGCCUGUUGAUAGUGACUCAAGGAUGUCACCUUAUGAAAGGAGGCUUCCUUGCCAUUCCUUAGCAGUUCCUAUCCAUACACUACUAACCCCACUUGGGUGGCCUGGGUGUUCUGGGCUGCAGCGGCACCAGAGGAACCCAACUCCAUUUGGGCUCCAGAACAAACAUGGCAUUAUAGAGUCCAUCCAAGAUUAUGAUGACAGGGUGACCCAUGGCAACGGGUGACAUAGUUCUGAGGACUAAAGCCCUCUCAUGUCUCCAACACUUGUCCUUCCUAUUCUUAAACCAAACCUAAAAUCAGAAGGAAAAAAGGGGUUGGUUUAGCAUAUUGAACAGGUAAUGUCAUAACAGAAAAACACAACAUGCAAAUCUAUUUGCUGUUGAGAUUUUAAACCACAGUGGGAGAAGCUAUUUCAUUAUUGCUAGAAUAUCUUAGGAAAGUUAAUACUGCAUUCGCUCCCUUCAGCGUGGACCAUGUGCCAAGCUCUGGUCUCAGCUUAUUGCUUUGUUUCCAUCCUCUCACUUUUAGUAUUCUUUAUUUUCCAGGUCUUGUAUGCAAGACUAGCUAGUGGAUUGCACUGUGUCCUUGCUGUUAAUGCUGUGCCUGGUAACAGGAUAGAGAAAUCUCCCCAAAUUCAAAACUUAUUUUCCAGUCAUGGAAAAGACAAUGAAAACAAACCAACGUGAGAAUGACCAGGACAGAGGUGUCCAAGUCCUGAAGCGGGUUUCGAAUGGCUGCCCUGCAGAGCUGCUUUGUUCAGGUUUACUCGCCUGCACCCUGGCUUCAGUCACACUCAUGCACAGUGCAAUCUCCUUUCUGAGAAGACAAAAGCACAAAUGUCCAAUAUUCAGAUAUGUGAAUGGAACUAAAUAUAUGGAUGUUAUUUCAUGCUUGUUUUAAAAUUUCUCUCCCUCUUAUGCCCCCCACCCCAGCAGAAUUUUCUGUAAUACCCAGUUCAAGGCUUGCUUUAGGGGGUGGUCUUCCUUCCCGCACAAAAUUUAAUGUGGCACCAAAACAAUCAGUGAUCAAGAUAAUGUUUUAACAAAUUUAACAAGUAUCAAAAUGAAUGCAAAAAUAAUCCAUGAUGAAAAAAUUAUCAAAAUUUAGAUAUAGGUAGGAUCUGACCCUGCACUUGCUCCACUGUGCCUCGUGCACAGUUCCAAUAAAAUGUUAUUUACAAAACAG